AUUGAACGCUGGCGGCAGGCUUAACACAUGCAAGUCGAGCGGGGUGAUGGUGCUUGCACUAUCACUUAGCGGCGGACGGGUGAGUAAUGCUUAGGAAUCUGCCUAUUAGUGGGGGACAACAUCUCGAAAGGGAUGCUAAUACCGCAUACGUCCUACGGGAGAAAGCAGGGGAUCACUUGUGACCUUGCGCUAAUAGAUGAGCCUAAGUCGGAUUAGCUAGUUGGUGGGUAAAGGCCUACCAAGGCGACGAUCUGUAGCGGGUCUGAGAAGAUGAUCCGCAACACUGGGACUGGGACACGGCCCAGACUCCUACGGGAGGCAGCAGUGGGGAAUAUUGGACAAUGGGGGGAACCCUGAUCCAGCCAUGCCGCGUGUGUGAAAAAGGCCUUAUGGUUGUAAAGCACUUUAAGCGAGGAGGAGGCUCCUUUGGUUAAUACCCAAGAUGAGUGGACGUUACUCGCAGAAUAAGCACCGGCUAACUCUGUGCCAGCCGCCGCCGUAA
rnacentral:rRNA from 1 species